ACGGGUGCGUAACGCGUGGGAAUCUGCCUUUAGGUUCGGAAUAACAGCUGGAAACGGCUGCUAAUACCGGAUGAUAUCGCGAGAUCAAAGAUUUAUCGCCUGAGGAUGAGCCCGCGUUGGAUUAGGUAGUUGGUGGGGUAAAGGCCUACCAAGCCGACGAUCCAUAGCUGGUCUGAGAGGAUGAUCAGCCACACUGGGACUGAGACACGGCCCAGACUCCUACGGGAGGCAGCAGUGGGGAAUAUUGGACAAUGGGCGCAAGCCUGAUCCAGCAAUGCCGCGUGAGUGAUGAAGGCCCUAGGGUUGUAAAGCUCUUUUACCCGGGAAGAUAAUGACUGUACCGGGAGAAUAAGCCCCGGCUAACUCCGUGCCAGCAGCCGCGGUAAUACGGAGGGGGCUAGCGUUGUUCGGAAUUACUGGGCGUAAAGCGCACGUAGGCGGCUUUGUAAGUCAGAGGCGAAAGCCUGGAGCUCAACUCCAGAACUGCCUUUGAGACUGCAUCGCUUGAAUCCAGGAGAGGUCAGUGGAAUUCCGAGUGUAGAGGUGAAAUUCGUAGA
rnacentral:rRNA from 1 species